rnacentral:rRNA from 1 species
UACGAAGGGGGCUAGCGUUGCUCGGAAUCACUGGGCGUAAAGGGCGCGUAGGUGGUUUGGUAAGUAGAGGGUGAAAGAUUCGGGCUCAACCCGAAAACUGCCUUCUAAACUGCCUUACUUGAGGGUCUGAAGGGAAACUGGAAUUCACGGUGGUAGCGGUGAAAUGCGUAGAUAUCGUGGAGACACCCGUGGCGAAAGCGGGUUUCUGGACAGCACUCCGUGAAGCGG